rnacentral:rRNA from 1 species
GACGAACGCUGGCGGCGUGCCUAAUACAUGCAAGUUGAGCGCUGAAGGUUGGUACUUGUACCAACUGGAUGAGCAGCGGACGGGUGAGUAACGCGUGGGGAAUCUGCCUUUGAGCGGGGGACAACAUUUGGAAACGAAUGCUAAUACCGCAUAAAAACUUUAAACACAAGUUUUAAGUUUGAAAGAUGCAAUUGCAUCACUCAAAGAUGAUCCCGCGUUGUAUUAGCUAGUUGGUGAGGUAAAGGCUCACCAAGGCGAUGAUACAUAGCCGACCUGAGAGGGUGAUCGGCCACAUUGGGACUGAGACACGGCCCAAACUCCUACGGGAGGCAGCAGUAGGGAAUCUUCGGCAAUGGACGAAAGUCUGACCGAGCAACGCCGCGUGAGGGAAGAAGGGUGUCGGAUCGUAAAACUCUGUUGGUAGAGAAGAACGUUGGUGAGAGUGGAAAGCUCAUCAAGUGACGGUAACUACCCAGAAAGGGACGGCUAACUACGUG